UUUGUAGUCAGAGGGGAGUAACUCAACUGUUAUUAAAAAGAUAUAUGGAGUAUGCAUUUAUAUGCUUAAGGAAAAUACUUUAUAUAUCUUUUUAACAUAGUCAUUUUAUCGUCAUUACGAAGCUUGAUUGCUUCCGGUAAAAUGGGCAGAUACAAACUGUC
rnacentral:sRNA from 2 species